GGGGCUGGGUGUAUUACUGUAUUAUAUGUAGGUCACAUCGUAAAUCUCAUGGCGCACUGCCUACUCAACCUAGAAGUCUAAAGAGUCAAGAACAUUGGCACGUGAAAAUCAAUGGGCUGUACGGUGCCUAGAAUAAAGGAACCUAUUGGUGUCAUAAAUCUCUGCCCAAAUCUCGGCUACUGCACAGUCAGGAUCUCCUAAUGCAGCUGAGCAUAAGGGCGCACCCUCCUUUGUAUCUAAACGUGAUGGACAAAAUUCAGCCUGUGAGAUAUGGCGUUGAAAUAAGCAAAAUAAGCUCUGAAUUCCAAGGGCCGGUAAGCCAACACUUUAAAGACAUUGGGUAAAAAUCCUGUCUGCAGAAAAGGAAGAGACAGAGUGAGCAACAACAACGAGGCAUGCCUGUGUUGGAUGCAGUUUUGGGACAGUUAUUGGCUCCCUAGGCAUCCCUCACUUCAGGGUGUAACUGUUACUUCUACAGUGCAUAUGAUGGUUUUAGUAAUUAACAUUCUGAAACUCAGAGACUGGGACACCUGGGUCGACCUAUCAUUUAGGUUCUCUGACUUAGGUCAAAUAAAUCCCCAGCUACUGAAAUCUGCUUAUCAGAGCUCACUACACAGAUGCUGCAGAGCUGCCAGACUCCUGCCAUGCAUAUUUUGCUGUUCCUUGCUCCUAGAACAUU